UACGGGGGGGCAAGCGUUGUUCGGAAUUACUGGGCGUAAAGGGCUCGUAGGUGCGCCAACUAAGUCAGACGUGAAAUCCCUCGGCUUAACCGGGGAACUGCGUCUGAUACUGGAUGGCUUGAGUUCGGGAGAGGGAUGCGGAAUUCCAGGUGUAGCGGUGAAAUGCGUAGAUAUCUGGAGGAACACCGGUGGCGAAGGCGGCGUCCUGGACCAACACUGACACUGAGGAGCGAAAGCCAGGGGAGCAAACGGG
rnacentral:rRNA from 1 species